rnacentral:rRNA from 1 species
GACGAACGUUGGCGGCGUGCUUAACACAUGCAAGUCGAACGGAAAGGCCUUUUCGGCUGUCCUUGAGUGGCGGACGGGUGCGUAACACGUGGGUGAUCUGCCCUGCAUUCUUGGAUAAGCGUGAGAACGUGGGUCUAAUUACGGUUAGGCCCGCACUUUCGUGUGGGUGGUGGAAGGUUUUAUGGGUGUAGUAUGAGCCGGCGGCCUAUGAGCUCGUUGGUGGGGUAAUGCCCUGCCAAGGCGCCGACGGGCAGCCGGACUGAGGGGUUGUUCGACGACAUUGGGACUGAGAUACGGCCGAGACGCCGACGAGUGGAAGCAGGGGGGAAGAUUGCACAAUGGGCGCAAGGCGGGUGCAGCGGCGCCGCGUGGGGGAAAACGGCCUUCGUGUUGUAGACACCCUGCACCAUGAACGAAGCGUUUUGUGACGGUACCUGGAGAAGAAGCACCGGCUAACUACGUG